CGUUUGUUGAUGCACGAUUGGUGCACGUCGUUGUCGCGUUCGUUCGUUAGCAAUCGCAUAACAUUGGGACGCAUGCGCCUUCGCCUGUGCGCUAUUCGUAUUAACACGCGAUGUAGAGUGCAAGACUUCUGAUUCCGUAUCUUAAGAAGAGCUCAAAACUGAAGUCGGCGAUUUUUUGGAAGAGAGAACGAGAGAAAUUGUGGAUUAUGAGAGAUAUAGAGGUAGAAGUGGAGUUUAUCAAAAGAAGGCCCCCAUCUUGAUGGAUAUAUUUUAUGAAAAUUUUAUUCCAGCUGUCUUCACAAAAACUUCCAGCUGGAGAAAAUAAUUCGGAACCGCCAUAUUUCGGUAUUUGUUGGAUCUCUCUCAUAACUCUCUAGGAACUUUGAAUUAGAACAAUUAAUUAGGAAACGUAAUUAAGUGAAAAUGCUGGAGGCGAACAUACCACUCGUUCGAAUGGAAAGCUCCAGCUGCGCUCCGUUGGGACUACAGACACCAAGCAGCAACUUAGAAGCGAUGUUGAAAAGCGAAAAAACGGGUGUCCUGCUGUGCUUACAGUGAACGGAAAGAACAACCACUGGAACACAGCACUUGUGCUAGCUGUAAAUGUCGGACAGCAAUCGAAAACGGGCGAACGACAUCGGCAUUCAACGGCAGCAGUGGCAGUUGCUCGAAUGAGCUUGUAAUUAAGUUCGGUUUCCAGUUGGCGAUUCGACUUGUAAUACAUGGCGAAAAAGAAACGAAAAUAUGUUGUUGCCCAAACACACAAAAACGGGCCAAAACAGCAUUGCAGUUGGAAGAAGAAUAAGCAUUUCAUUUGCUUGCCGACAGCGCGCACAGUAGCCGCAAGUUUGCAGCAAACAUGCCAGUCACAGUUGCAACAACAGUUCUAUUAGUUUGCUCCACCUAUUGAUAAACCCGCAGAAUUCCGUUUAAUUUAGCAACUCACCGGCCGUCGCACGAUUCUUUGUGGAUCACUGGAAACAUGUUAAUCCAUUGGAGUGCUAUCGUUGCCGGAUGCGCGCUACGCUAGGAAUGUGUGCCUGUGACUUGACAUUUCGUGGCAACGAGCGUGCAACGCGACAUGACAUUUGACAGUCGAAAUGUCCGCUGGCCACUGGCCGAGAUCAGUGUUUCACGAAGAGGGCACAGCGUCGACAAGUUUCGACUUUUCAAUUGGCAAUUAGAAAUUGGCAUCGGGUAACUAACUACUUUUACGCCACCUUAUGUGAGAGAGAGAGUGUACGAGUAUAUGUGUGAUUAUUUGCACUUCUUUGUAAGGCGGACAUAGUGCUUCUGGCAUUUACAAGUUGCCACCGUUCGUUGCAGGCGCGACGCGACGCGACAUUAGUGCUGAUGUGACACAGCGAGUGGCAGAGUGGCAGUUGCAACAUGCACUUUACAUGCAUUGCGCGAAUUGACAAGAUGGCAAGAUACGCGAUGCGAGCUGCAAUUCAACUGAACGGGGAAUGGUAGUAGCGGCCACAACGUGAGCGCCACAAAUGUCAAAUAUCAGUUGAUGACAGAGCCGAUUUGGAAGAUAACACGUAAGCAUAGCGCUGUGCACUCGUGUUGUUGCGAUUUAAAUGCGAUAAACUUUGAUACGGAUCAGAUGGGCGCCAGUAAGGGACUCUUGAGAGACAUGGCAUGUCAGAAGUAAUGAUAAAUAUUUAAGAAAAGAUGUUAAAGCUAAAGAAUUCACUGUGUUUUAGAUUUUGUUAAUAAAUCUUUACC